UGAUGGCUGUUCUUCUCACUGCCUGGAGCCUUAAGUAGUGGGGGUUUGACACAUCAUAUAUCCAAACUGACUUGUCUUCACUCAGAGCACUCCGGGGAUGAGUUGGCUAUGGGGUAGCACCUAACGAUUCUUGCGGAGUCAAAACGAC
rnacentral:snoRNA from 1 species